GCGGGAAUGGCGGAAUUGGUAGACGCGCACGGUUCAGGUCCGUGUGGCUAUUGCAGCCAUGAGGGUUCGAGUCCCUCUCCCCGCACCA
rnacentral:tRNA from 1 species